rnacentral:rRNA from 1 species
GUGCUUGCUCCGCGCUGACGAGCGGCGGACGGGUGAGUAAUGCAUAGGAAACUGCCCAGUAGUGGGGGAUAGCCCGGGGAAACCCGGAUUAAUACCGCGUACGCCCUUCGGGGGAAAGCAGGGGAUCUUCGGACCUUGCGCUAUUGGAUGUGCCUAUGUCGGAUUAGCUAGUUGGUGGGGUAAAGGCCUACCAAGGCGACGAUCCGUAGCUGGUCUGAGAGGAUGAUCAGCCACAUCGGGACUGAGACACGGCCCGAACUCCUACGGGAGGCAGCAGUGGGGAAUAUUGGACAAUGGGGGCAACCCUGAUCCAGCCAUGCCGCGUGUGUGAAGAAGGCUUUCGGGUUGUAAAGCACUUUCAGUGAGGAGGAAAGCUCUGCGACUAAUACUCGUAGGGCUUGACGUUACUCACAGAAGAAGCACCGGCUAACUCCGUGCCAGCAGCCGCGGUAAUACGGAGGGUGCAAGCGUUAAUCGGAAUUACUGGGCGUAAAGCGCGCGUAGGUGGUUUGAUAAGCGAGAUGUGAAAGCCCCGGGCUUAACCUGGGAACGGCAUUUCGAACUGUCAGGCUAGAGUAUGGUAGAGGGUAGUUGGAAUUUCCUGUGUAGCGGUGAAAUGCGUAGAUAUAGGAAGGAACACCAGUGGCGAAGGCGGCUACCUGGACCGAUACUGACACUGAGGUGCGAAAGCGUGGGGGAGCAAACAGGAUUAGAUACCCUGGUAGUCCACGCCGUAAACGAUGUCUACUAGCCGUUGGGACUCUUGAAGUCUUAGGUGGCGCAGCUAACGCACUAAGUAGACCGCCUGGGGAGUACGGCCGCCAAGGUUAAAACUCAAAUGAAUUUGACCGGGGGCCCGCACAAGCGGUGGAGCCAUGUGGGUUUAAUUCGACGCAACGCGAAGAACCUUACCUGGCCUUGACAUGCACAGAACUUUC